rnacentral:lncRNA from 1 species
GAUUUUUUUAAAAAAAUCUUUGUCUCUUAAGUCAUGAAAGCUGCAAAGAACAUCUGGAUUUCUUUUGUCAUUAUGAAUAAAAGAGUAGUAAUGACUUGCAGUAGUACUUACUUUUUAAAAUUUAAGCCACAUUGAUUUUAUUAAAACUUCUCAGUAUACCUGAUGAUGUAGCCUACAACCAUAAAUAGAAGAUUUAGUUGUUUAUGGAAAGUGUUUUUUGGUUUUAUAACAACAGUGUUUUUGAAUAGGUCAUUUGUAGUUCUUAUCAUUCUGUGGAGAAUGAGGGAACAGAUUAUAUUUGGAUCAAGAGAUUUGCCGAUUACCCUUUACUAAGGCACUGCAGAUAUUUUCUUUUUAAAAAUUUUGUUAGCAUUGCACUUUACAGUUUAAAACUAGUUAAUGACAAGCCUGAUAGAAAUAAUUAUAUGAUUUUUUUAUAAUGAUAAAGAAACAAAAAGUAAUCAUUGAAAAUAUAACUUUGCAUUGCUGGGUAUAGGAAGACAGGUAUCUGGUACAAAUCUUUAACAACUAUGGUUUACUGAUUUUUGCCAAACUUUGAAAAUAGGUGAGUGUGGAAGUUGUCUUUUUAAAGGAUGUUUUUCCUAGGCCUCUGGGUAAGAAAUUAACUUUACUUCCCUUUUGAUGAAAGAAUCUAUUAAGAACACUAUUUCUUUGUUUAAUAUGAGGUUAGCUGGUCUCAUUCCUUAAUAUUCCUUAAUAUUCUGAAGAAAUGAAUGCUCAGGGGAAGUUGAGAGAGUUGCUGAAGUUCAAACAAAUCACUUGUAAAAUUGGAUCCUCUAGCAGAAUUCAUGUCAGGUUGAAAUGAAUAUAUCUACUGUGGUACUCAAUCUGUGUAAAUGAUUGGCUGUUUGCCUCAUUUUUGUCAUACAAAGAAAUGCUGGAGAAAUCUUUUAUAAAUUCAGACUUUUAUUAGGUCUUUAUUCCCCCUAUAAAAAUUUUCAUCUCAGGAAUAGCUCUUAUUGUAUGAAUUAUUAUCCUAAUAUGAUAUAUGCAUACAGAUGUGUAUGUGUGUGCAUGUAUAUGUACACACAUUUCUUGAAUAAAGAUAUCUUUUGUAUUUUUCAAUCUUCUGUAGUACCUAGAAAGUAAAGAUAUGAUAUGAGAGGAAUUACCAUAUACUUCAUACUUAGUGAAUGUUUAAUAUAUAUUUUAAUUCAUGGAUAUUGGAAAAGAAGGAAAGGAAGUG